CAUCCUGUCCAAGGUAAAGAAGCUGGCCUCUGAACUUGGCUAAAUCUGCAAGGACAGAGACAGCAAACCAGACUUCUUUGGAUAACAAACCAGACCUCCCUAAAGAACAGCUUGAUGAUGUAAAGAUACUACACCAGGCUCCCUGGUGUCCACCCACCUCCUUUAAAGGUACCUAAAGAGAAUCUGGAACCACACGUCUUUUCUCAAGACUGGAAACCAGAAUACCAGGAUCUCUCCUCCCCUAAACUCUCACCAAUUUGGCCCCUCACACAGAUGAGCAGCAUUGAGUAAUUAAUUUCCACCAGUGAGGAGAGUCUUAUGCAAAUAGGCUUUAAGCAAAAUCACAGCAAGCCAAAUAAUGAUCAAGAAAUCCAAUGAGAUGAUAGAAAAUGCUAUCCACAUCCAGAGAAAGAACUAUGGGGUC